GGGCAGCAGUGGGGAAUAUUGCGCAAUGGGCGAAAGCCUGACGCAGCAACGCCGUGUGGACGAAGAAGGCCUUCGGGUUGUAAAGUCCUGUCACAGGGGACGAAGCCCCAACUUGUUUGGGGUGACGGUACCCUGAAAGGAAGCCCCGGCUAACUACGUGCCAGCAGCCGCGGUAACACGUAGGGGGCAAGCGUUGUCCGGAAUUAUUGGGCGUAAAGAGCACGUAGGCGGCCAUCCAAGUCAGGUGUGAAAACCUCAGGCUCAACUUGAGGCCUGCACUUGAUACUGGUUGGCUAGAGUCCAGUAGAGGAGAGUGGAAUUCCUGGUGUAGCGGUGAAAUGCGCAGAUAUCAGGAAGAACACCGGUGGCGAAGGCGGCUCUCUGGGCUGCGACUGACGCUGAGGUGCGAAAGCUAGGGGAGCAAACAGGAUUAGAUACCCCUGUAGUC
rnacentral:rRNA from 1 species